rnacentral:rRNA from 1 species
UUGGGCGUAAGCGCGCGCAGGCGGAUCAGUCAGUCUGUCUUAAAAGUUCGGGGCUUAACCCCGUGAUGGGAUGGAAACUGCUGAUCUAGAGUAUCGGAGAGGAAAGUGGAAUUCCUAGUGUAGCGGUGAAAUGCGUAGAUAUUAGGAAGAACACCAGUGGCGAAGGCGACUUUCUGGACGAAAACUGACGCUGAGGCGCGAAAGCCAGGGGAGCGAACGGGAUUAGAUACCCCGGUAGUCCUGGCCGUAAACGAUGGGUACUAGGUGUAGGAGGUAUCAACCCCCUUCUGUGCCGGAGUUAACGCAAAUAAAGUACCCCGCCUGGGGGAGUACGACCGCAAGGUUUGAAAACUCAAAAGGAAUUGACGGGGGCCCCGCAACAAGCGGGUGGAAUAUGUGGUUUAAUUCCGACGC